GUCAAGACAUGGGAGCUGUCGGGGAACAAAUGGCCGAACAUACUUGUGGUAGAACACGAACUAUGAGACAUUAGGCUUUACACGGCACUUCCCGAGGGUCAGGCUAUGAAGACAAACACCCCAGCUGGAGGAAAUCCUACCUUGUCACCCACCACAGCAUGGCUCAGGAUUGUUAUGCUAGAGUCAUUUAAAACUCACAAAGAAAAGAGAAAAUACCCCUGCUGUAUAGCACAGAAGAGAGCUGUCCCAAUUCAUCUCCAUCAACGGUUACAGUGAUAAUGGACUCUCGGAGAACAAGAUAGCUUCAUUCCAUGAGCAGUGGUACAGUCUUGCAGUGCAUGCAAAGAAAGCUGGAAAAUUUAACAUCAUGAGAACAUCUGAACACCCAGAGGAGAGAGAACACAAGCGCGUUUGUGAGCAGUCUUCACAUGAAACACUGUGAUUCAUCAAACUUUGAUUAAAUCACUGAUAUAUGCCAUCUCUAAUAGCACUCAACAGAUUGAUCACAGAUUAGACCUGGAAUCUGGAAGUCGCUUGACAUAUGCUUUGAUUUAAAUUCAAUCAAAAGAAUAAGGGGAAGAUUGAGGAUCCUGAAUAAAAGUGUUUGGAGUGCCACCUGGUGACUGUUUACCAAAUUGGUUUAUUAAAUGUAAAUCUUGACAGGGUCACUGUCAGGUUACUACUUUAACCCUUGUUCUCUGUUUUGGGAGCCCUGUCUGUAAGACCCCGAGGUCAUUUUAAUAGCUCAAAAAGCAUACUUAACAUUUCAAUAUACAUUUACAACCUUUCAUUUUGUGUAUAUACAUAAUACAUUAUUAAAACACAAAUUUAAUUUUCAAAUGUCAUCCACAUAAACAAAUAAUACAUGAAAUGAAUUUUCAUGCUGCCUUUCUCUGUUUGGUGCAUUUUAAGAAAAUGUAACAUUUAAAUGACUUAAAAUAACUAUUAUUCAUUUUUAUUAAACAAUAUGGGGUCAGUCGUCUUAAGAGAACAUGAGAGUUUAUUACAAAUCACUCUAAGAUUUUCAUAUCAGUUUUGAACCCCCAAAAAAGGUAAAUGUAAUGGUUCAACCAACACCAUACUCUUCCAUCAAUAUGAAUUUAACCAUCAUAAGGAUGCAUAAUCAGCCUUCUUUCACAGAUGGCUGAGCACAUGUUGUUUUCCGUCUGUGCGUCUGCAUUUGUGUGAUGUGUUUAUUUUGGGAGAAUUCAGUCACAUUUUGUGAAGUGAAUCACAUACAACUCUACUUUGUCUUAAUUAGCCAAUGCGAUGCAUUAAUACUGACAGGACUAGGCAGAGCGGGAGAUUUAUGACUAAAGUGCAAUGACUUCUGAACCCUGUUUUGCCCUGGAGUGCUGUUAGAACACACAACCCUACCCUCAAAGCACAGCUAUAACAAUUAGCAUACAAACAGGAGCAAGAUGUUACAUAAUUAACUUCUCAACCAUGCCAUGCUAAAAUCCCUUGACAUAUGAGAACAUAGAUGUGUAAAACUGUGUUGCUUAUCAUUCUCCAUGACAAUACUUUUGUAGGAACAGCAUAUGUGUGCAUAUCUAAUCUUUGUUCUGAUUUGCUGUGCUGGGUGAAGAGAUAAUUUAUCGAUCAAAGAACUUAAAUGACAUAUCUGUUUGCCACAACAUAAAUCAGAUCAGAUUAACCAGUUCCUGUAAAUACCAUGUGAUUGCAAACCCUGAAGCUGUAGCUGAAAAGCUCAAAACUCAAACCGUUUCACAGGCAUUUUCCAUUAAUAUGAUAGAUUCUGUUUUAAUUUUUGGAUAUUGAUUCAAAAAGAAUCUCAUUAUCUAUAUUCAGCUAUUAACAUUACACAACAGUGUCAUAAUGUUGACACAGUUACCCAAAUUAUGAGGGGGGGAAACAAUAAAAAAUAGUUUUAUUAAUGGGAAAUAUACAUUUAUCAUGGGCUAGCUAGU